GUCUGGGAUACCAUUUGGAAACAGGUGCUAAUACCUGGAUAAGAAAGCAGAUCGCAUGAUCAGCUUUUAAAAGGCGGCGUAAGCUGUCGCUAAGGGAUGGCCCCGCGGUGCAUUAGCUAGUUGGUAAGGUAACGGCUUACCAAGGCAACGAUGCAUAGCCGAGUUGAGAGACUGAUCGGCCACAUUGGGACUGAGACACGGCCCAAACUCCUACGGGAGGCAGCAGUAGGGAAUCUUCCACAAUGGACGCAAGUCUGAUGGAGCAACGCCGCGUGAGUGAAGAAGGUUUUCGGAUCGUAAAGCUCUGUUGUUGGUGAAGAAGGAUAGAGGUAGUAACUGGCCUUUAUUUGACGGUAAUCAACCAGAAAGUCACGGCUAACUACGUGCCAGCAGCCGCGGUAAUACGUAGGUGGCAAGCGUUGUCCGGAUUUAUUGGGCGUAAAGCGAGCGCAGGCGGAAAAAUAAGUCUGAUGUGAAAGCCCUCGGCUUAACCGAGGAACUGCAUCGGAAACUGUUUUUCUUGAGUGCAGAAGAGGAGAGUGGAACUCCAUGUGUAGCGGUGGAAUGCGUAGAUAUAUGGAAGAACACCAGUGGCGAAGGCGGCUCUCUGGUCUGCAACUGACGCUGAGGCUCGAAAGCAUGGGUAGCGAACAGGAUUAGAUACCCUGGUAGUCCAUGCCGUAAACGAUGAGUGCUAAGUGUUGGGAGGUUUCCGCCUCUCAGUGCUGCAGCUAACGCAUUAAGCACUCCGCCUGGGGAGUACGACCGCAAGGUUGAAACUCAAAGGAAUUGACGGGGGCCCGCACAAGCGGUGGAGCAUGUGGUUUAAUUCGAAGCAACGCGAAGAACCUUACCAGGUCUUGACAUCUAGUGCAAUCUGUAGAGAUACGGAGUUCCCUUCGGGGACGCUAAGACAGGUGGUGCAUGGCUGUCGUCAGCUCGUGUCGUGAGAUGUUGGGUUAAGUCCCGCAACGAGCGCAACCCUUGUUAUUAGUUGCCAGCAUUAAGUUGGGCACUCUAAUGAGACUGCCGGUGACAAACCGGAGGAAGGUGGGGAUGACGUCAAGUCAUCAUGCCCCUUAUGACCUGGGCUACACACGUGCUACAAUGGGCAGUACAACGAGAAUGCAAAGCCUGCGAAGGCAAGCGAAUCUCUUAAAGCUGUUCUCA
rnacentral:rRNA from 1 species